UGCUGUUUCGCUGACGAGUGGCGGACGGGUGAGUAAUGUCUGGGAAACUGCCUGAUGGAGGGGGAUAACUACUGGAAACGGUAGCUAAUACCGCAUAACGUCGCAAGACCAAAGAGGGGGACCUUCGGGCCUCUUGCCAUCGGAUGUGCCCAGAUGGGAUUAGCUAGUAGGUGGGGUAACGGCUCACCUAGGCGACGAUCCCUAGCUGGUCUGAGAGGAUGACCAGCCACACUGGAACUGAGACACGGUCCAGACUCCUACGGGAGGCAGCAGUGGGGAAUAUUGCACAAUGGGCGCAAGCCUGAUGCAGCCAUGCCGCGUGUAUGAAGAAGACCUUCGGGUUGUAAAGUACUUUCAGCGGGGAGGAAGGGAGUAAAGUUAAUACCUUUACUCAUUGACGUUACCCGCAGAAGAAGCACCGGCUAACUCCGUGCCAGCAGCCGCGGUAAUACGGAGGGUGCAAGCGUUAAUCGGAAUUAC
rnacentral:rRNA from 1 species